rnacentral:rRNA from 1 species
GGCGGGACACGUGGUAUCCUGUCUGAAUAUGGGGGGACCAUCCUCCAAGGCUAAAUACUCCUGACUGACCGAUAGUGAACCAGUACCGUGAGGGAAAGGCGAAAAGAACCCCGGCGAGGGGAGUGAAAAAGAACCUGAAACCGUGUACGUACAAGCAGUGGGAGCCUCUUUAUGGGGUGACUGCGUACCUUUUGUAUAAUGGGUCAGCGACUUAUAUUCUGUAGCAAGGUUAACCGUAUAGGGGAGCCGAAGGGAAACCGAGUCUUAACUGGGCGUUAAGUUGCAGGGUAUAGACCCGAAACCCGGUGAUCUAGCCAUGGGCAGGUUGAAGGUUGGGUAACACUAACUGGAGGACCGAACCGACUAAUGUUGAAAAAUUAGCGGAUGACCUGUGGCUGGGGGUGAAAGGCCAAUCAAACCGGGAGAUAGCUGGUUCUCCCCGAAAGCUAUUUAGGUAGCGCCUCGUGAACUCAUCUUCGGGGGUAGAGCACUGUUUCGGCUAGGGGGCCA